GACGAACGCUGGCGGCGUGCUUAACACAUGCAAGUCGAACGGAAAGGCCCUGCUUUUGUGGGGUGCUCGAGUGGCGAACGGGUGAGUAACACGUGAGUAACCUGCCCUUGACUUUGGGAUAACUUCAGGAAACUGGGGCUAAUACCGUAUAGGAGCUCCUGCUGCAUGGUGGGGGUUGGAAAGUUUCGGCGGUUGGGGUUGGACUCGCGGCUUAUCAGCUUGUUGGUGGGGUAGUGGCUUACCAAGGCUUUGACGGGUAGCCGGCCUGAGAGGGUGACCGGCCACAAUGGGACUGAGAUACGGACCAGACUCCUACGGGAGGCAGCAGUGGGAAAUAUUGCACAAUGGGCGGAAGCCUGAUGAAGAAACGCCGGGGGCGGGAUGACGGCCUGCGGGUUGUAAACCGCUUUCGCCUGUGACGAAGCGUGAGUGACGGUAAUGGGUAAAGAAGCACCGGCUAACUACGUG
rnacentral:rRNA from 1 species